rnacentral:rRNA from 1 species
GACGAACGCUGGCGGCGUGCCUAAUACAUGCAAGUUGAGCGAUGAAGAUUGGUGCUUGCACCAAUUUGAAGAGCAGCGAACGGGUGAGUAACGCGUGGGGAAUCUGCCUUUGAGCGGGGGACAACAUUUGGAAACGAAUGCUAAUACCGCAUAACAACUUUAAACAUAAGUUUUAAGUUUGAAAGAUGCAAUUGCAUCACUCAAAGAUGAUCCCGCGUUGUAUUAGCUAGUUGGUGAGGUAAAGGCUCACCAAGGCGAUGAUACAUAGCCGACCUGAGAGGGUGAAGGGCCAAACUGGGAAGUAGACACGGGCCAUAAGCCUGCGGGAGGAAGCAGUAGGGAAGUUGGCGAAAUGGGGGAAAGCGUGACGGAGAAACGGCGGGGGAGUGAUGAAGGGCUUGGGAUCUGAAAACUCUGUUAUCAGGGAAGAACAAAUGUGUAAGUAACUAGGCACGUCUUGAGGGGACCUAAUCAGAAAGCCACGGCUAACUACGUG